GGGCAAUGUAGUUCUUUUUUAUUCUGACAAGGAUUUGUUCAACUUUUCAAAACAAUACUGUAGGGUUGUUUUAUAGGGCAUGCGAGUGUGAUUGAAAGGGUGUGAUUGAAAGGGAAUCCCCACUAGGAAGUCUUGGGAAACUUUGGGAAGGUGUUGUGUGUGCAUUCCAAAACAUGGACCCAGUUUCUAGCCAUGUCAAUACAAAUUGACAGUUUUUUCGAUUCAUAUUAUAAUGGACAGUGGUGGGAAAAGUACUCAAUUGUCAUACUUGAGUAAAAGUAAAGACACCUUAAUAGAAAAUGACUGAAGUCAAAAAGUAAAAUAUUAAAUGUCAAAGUAUUUGGUUUUAAAUACACUUAAGUAUCAAAAGUCAAUGUAAUUGGUCAAAUAUACUUAAGUAUCAAAAGUAAAAGUGUAAAUAAUUUCCAAUUCCUUUUAUUAAGCAAACCAGUUCGCACAAUUUUUUUGUUUUUGUUAUUAAUUUACAGACAGCAAGAGGCACACUCCAACACUCAGACAUAAUUUACAUACAAAGCAUGUGUGUUUAGUAACUCUGUCAGAUCAGCGGCAGUACAGAUGACCAGGGGUGUUCUUGUCACGUUCUGACCUUAGUUCCUUUGUUUUGUCUUUUGUUUUAGUAUGGUUGGGUGGGUUGUCUAUGUUAGUUUGUCUAUGAUUUUCUAUUUCUGUGUUUGGCCUGGUAUGGUUCUCAAUCAGAGGCAGCUGUCAAUCGUUGUCCCUGAUUGAGAACCAUAUUUAGGUAGCCUGUUUUCCAUUGUGUUUUGUGGGUAGUUAUUUUCUGUUUAGUGUUGUACCUUACAGGACUGUUCGUUGGUUGUUUAUUAUUUGGUUUCAGUGUUCAUUAAUUAAAAUAUUUUAAAUAUGAACACUUACCAUUCUGCACCUUGGUCCUCCUCUCCUUCCCCAGACAAUAAGCGUUACAGUUCUCUUGGUAAAUACGUGAAUUGAACCAUUUUCCUGUCCUGCUAAGCAUUCAAAAUGUAACUACACAGUAAAAUCACCCGUGGUAAAUUCACGGUGUCAAAAGUGAUCAACUCCCAUAGAGUUGUUUUAGCAACUGGCAGUGCCAAAUGACCCCUGGAGUCAGUGCUGAUAACUGGUGUUAAUUGCUAAGGUGUACAAUUUUACUCUACUGGUGUCGACUUUCACUUAGUCAGUGUAAACAUCACAACCCCACCCAUAAAUUCAGUUUCUGCGUUCAAAUUUCCUCUUUUCUCGACACCAUUGUUGGAUCAACAAAAUCCUAAUGUGUUCCCCACAAAGGUGAGUUUUAAACAACUAUUUUACUGAUAUUAUUUUGCAUUUUGAUACAUGGUUGUCAGAUUGCAGUGUAACAUAAAUAGUCCAACGGUUUUGAUUGUGUGUGUGUGUGUGUGUGCAGCUAAUGUUAGAGUUGCUAGCUAACUAGCUCGCCCCUCUCUUUUGCAGUUAGUCUGCUCCACGGUUCCAUGGGCGCGUCUCAUUUCAGCACCAAGCUUUUUCGCCUCAUGCUAGUUUGUUCUCUUUAUUUCGGCUGCUUACUAUAUAUUGAGGACUAAUCUGAUUAAGCUAAUAGAGAGCAUACUGGGGGAAAAAGCCUGGUGGAGAGGUUGUCAUCAAGGAAUACUCCAAAACUAAAAGCCUGACUGACCUGACCAGAAGAAAGAUGAUCAACGUUCUUGUUUCCGGCGAUGACGGAGACUCAUGGGAUGGGACGAUGAACUUUCGUCCAUCCUUCUCCUGCUCCAUUUGAUUCUUCCUUCAUCACAAGGCCGAAAAAGACCAGGCAAGAUGUCUGCAUCCCAAACUGAACAGCAUCUUGUGAUAUUCCAAAAGGCAGGAACCAGUAUCACCUUGAUGUGAUUAACCAGAGCCGCCAACCAUGUCGAGACCAGGAAGAGCAGCAUCCACGCUUAAUUCUUCCUCCUGGACAAGCGAGCCUUGCCGUGCAAGUCAACGAGCGCUCUUGGUGCCUUCGAUGAGCUUUUCAAGACUCACUUUGUUUUUGGUACGGCUUACAAUACAAUGCUGCGCAACAUGUACACCUUCAUACAGACAGCGUAUACAACAUAGACAUUGGGAAGGUUAAGGAGACUCCGAGGGUUGCUGAGCUCAGAACUAAACUCCUGUACUAACGCUGAUUAAGUUCUAAUGAUAUGUUUUGUUUGCCAUGCUAGUCAUGGAAGUACCAACAUUUUCGUGAGGCAUCUCAAGUUGAUGCAUGGAUUGUUCCCUGGUAGAACUCGUAGACUAACAUGUGGUCAAGCAGAUUGUUGUCGGGAUUUGGUACAUUUUCAGGCUUCAGGAAGCAGUUGAGAAGGGCACAUUCCGGAGACUCAAAUUUUGUUAAACACUAACUUGGAUGCUAAUACAGCCAUUGAUAGUGAGCCAAAUACUGCUAAUUUCCCUUCAAAUUCUAGUUGUAACCAUGUUGUACCAAUAUCUAUGUGGUCCUUCUGUAGCUCAGUUGGUAGAGCAUGGCGCUUGUAACCCCAGGGUAGUGGGUUCGAUUCCCGGGACCACCCAUACGUAGAAUGUAUGCACACAUGACUGUAAGUCGCUUUGGAUAAAAGCGUCUGCUAAAUGGCAUAUAUUAUAUAUUAUUAUCUAACAAAAACACACUUGAUAUGUGUACGUCUGCUAUUGCACAACUGCAGGCUGCAGGUGUUGGUCAGAUGACUGUAAAUAGUUUUGUAUCUUCCAUGGAAGAAGCAGUUCAAGAGAUACAGGGUCAAGCUAAAGUGACUGCUCUUACACGUAUAUCUUCAAAAGACACAGAAACGGUCUUUUCAGGAUAUUGAAAAUCCUUGCACAUUGUUGAAUUCGGUAUCAAAACGAAGUGCUUAUUUCAUACAAAAAUUAAGAACAGUUCAACCAGUUGAGAAAGUCCUUGGUGUUAGAUUUGACAAUAGAAUAAACAACACUACUGGAACUGAAUGAUCAAAUAGUCAUAACUGAUACAUUUUCUGACGUUCCAAUUCCCCAGACAUUGCAGUCAAUUUUGAAGAACCCAAACACAAGUGGCAUGUUUAACUUGGGGCACAAUUUUAAAGAUGUAGUUUACUUUGAUUUGGAAGAUGGACUAUAUAUGAAGAGACAUAUAUAGGUCGUAUACAUGGCAUUAUCGUCCAAGUAACUGGAGAUAAUCUUGGUACACAUUGCCUGUUUGGUUUUGUGGAAUCUUUUGGUGCUAGUUUUUGUUGACGUUUUUGCCUCACUGAGAAAGUGGAUUUUCAAACUGUUGCCCUCAUGAGUGACUUUAUGAACAAAACACAUGCACUCAGACCAUUGUCAAACUAUUCAGUCAAACCCAACACUACCUCAUGUGCAUGCUUACUUAUUGAACUCUCUGCAGUACUUCAAUACGACAGACACUUUUUCCAUUGAUAUAAUGCAUGACAUUUUAGAAGGAGUUGCACAAUUUGAGGUAAAACUUGUCUUACAGUAAGAGGAUAAAUACUGGCAGCUACUUCUGUUACUACUACUACACAUUGUAAAUAUUGACUAUCUGUCUGAAGCAGUUAAUUGCUGAACAUCAUAGGCUUUUCAAGUAUCUGUUUCCUGACAGAAAUCUGUUUACCGAAACACCACUUCAUGAUACAAUAUCCUCAUUGUAUAAGGAAUAUUGGGCCCAUUCUUCACUCGUGUAUGCGCUACAAGGCAAAACAGAAUUUCUUUAAAAAAGCAAUUGUAGAGUUUUAAGAAUGUCACUAUGAACUUAGCCAAGGAACACCAAAAUCACAUGGCAUAUAAUUCGGGAAACGUUCAGCCAGGAUAUACUAGCUUCAGAUCAAGACUCAAGGCUGAAAGAAGGCCAUGAGAUCGCUGCCAAGUUGAAUGUCUCAGUGCGCACAAAUGUUUUGACAGUUAAAUGGGUAAAGCCCCAUGGUAUAGAAUAUAGUCUUGAUUUGGUCAUAUGUGGUGAAGUAGCCAUUGAAAUGCCAGUAUUUGACAAGAUUACGGUUAUUGUUCUGAAAGAGGAAAAUGUUGUUUUGGGUUGGGUCAGCUCUUGAAGCAUUAUGUUUUGAUCAUUUGCAUGCAUUUACAGUUGUUCUGAAGCAAAGUCCACCAUGCAAGGUAUUUCAUGUAAAUGACAUCGUGUACCACAAACCUUUUCAUUUGCUCAUGUUAUAUGGAGCAAUGGAUUUUCUUGACUACAUUGUCCCCUACUGUGACUUGAUAACAGUUUAAGCCAGGGCUGAGACUUACGGAUAGGUUGUGAGAAACAUAUUUGAAUGUUGAAACAGCUUUGCUUGAGUUUAUUGUGAAAUUCCAAGUGCUUUUACAAAAUAUCAUUUCCAUUUACAUGGGGGAAGAGUAAAUAAAUUAACACUGAAGAAUAAACACAUUGUUACUCUAAUGGGAGUCACCCUAGAUCAACACUAGUGAGUGUCACUAUAACACUCAAAGUGUUGAUUACCUCUUUGUGUUACAUUUUAUCAAGGCCGGCCAGUGUACUGCAGUGUUAACUUUUUGCACUCGUCAGU